rnacentral:rRNA from 1 species
UACGUAGGGUGCGAGCGUUGUCCGGAAUUACUGGGCGUAAAGAGCUCGUAGGUGGUUUGUCGCGUUGUCCGUGAAAACUCACAACUCAAUUGUGGGCGUGCGGGCGAUACGGGCAGACUGGAGUACUGCAGGGGAGACUGGAAUUCCUGGUGUAGCGGUGGAAUGCGCAGAUAUCAGGAGGAACACCGGUGGCGAAGGCGGUUCUCUGGGCAGUAACUGACGCUGAGGCUCGAAAGCAUGGGGAGCAAACAGG